rnacentral:lncRNA from 1 species
AGAAAAUAACUGAUGACCCUCCAAGACUUGAAAGGAGUGACCUGAGUUUAGGAGAUAGUAGAACCCACCUAGAUCAUGGUCGUGCCAGCAAAUCCGUGUGAAUGCCACUGGAUUAAAAGAAGGAAAUUUAGUUGAAUGGUUACUACCCUCAUUCACAGGAGCAGUUAUCAGCACUUCCAUUGAGGCAAUGGCAGUGGGAAAAGGAAGGCAAAUAUUUAUUUACCCAUCCAUAAACUCAUAAAAAUUGCCAACUUUACAGAGAAACUGUUUUUUCCGUUUUUGAAGAAAUCCUAACUUGUCUACCUGGGAGCUCUUAUUCAAGCCUUCACUUAAGCUCUUGAAUCCUCCAACGAAGUGCUGCUCAAAACUUCUUGUCCCGAAUUACAGUGUGUUCUUGGUUACACUUGCAUCCCA